rfam:Trypanosoma congolense IL3000, WGS project CAEQ01000000 data, contig: contig_2744
AUGAGGUUCGAAUACGCUUCACGGUUUCUGUGCGUCCACGCGUGGGAAACGCCUCAAAGAUGC